AGGACCCACAGAGAAAUGACAGACCCUUCCUGCUGCAUUUAAUCGGAAAGGAGCACAGAGACCUGAGAUUAUAAUGAUGACGUCUUAAAUGUCAAGUGCUUCAAAAGUCUGCUGUUGCACUCACUGUUACCCUGAACAGCUCUGGGAACCAAAACCCUGCAGCCACCUAAAGCAUGCCCUGAGUCUCUCAGCCAGGUUUCACCUGGGAAAUCUGAGUGACAGUGACGUGCAGGCAGCUGGAAGACGCACAGUAAACCGAGGAGCCUGUGAUGAGCUCAGAGGAGGUUGGUUAGUGGAGACAGAAGAACAGUAAGUGUUGGGAGCCGUUACCAGUGGAGGAGCCACCCAUGAGCACGGAAGCCAGAGCAUAUCUGGACCAUCAUGUAAGUUCAGAGGAAGACACGAUUCAGUUGACAAAAAUUUGUGUACCCUCCUCAGAAGUGCAUUGUUGUGCAAGAAAUGGUUUGGCAGUGACUCUCCCCUUUCAGCUGCAAGUCAUCAAGGGCUGAAUGCCUCUCCAGUUGCCAGGGGAGGAGUGGCUUGUAGAGCGGAUGUUCCCAGUCUGGCAGAAUCUUCUAUCAAGUGUUCCCUGAGUUGGGCUGCCAGGGGGCAGGUGUUGAACAGUGAUGAAGUCCUCUCACCUGAGCAGCUUCUAAUGCAAGAGGGGUGUCGUGGGUGCCUGAAACCCUAUGUCUGUGGGUGGAGCGUAAACUUAGCCUCUUCCCUGAGGUUAGGCAGCAUGUCAUAACCACCUCCGGCUGCCCAUGGCUGGUUUGGGGCAAUAUGCCAAGAUGUAGUUUUGCCUAUUUGGUUUGCUUUUUCCUCUAAAAUAUACAAAAGUUAAUAACAUGUACUGGGUUUUUAAAAAAUUAUAAAAUAUAAGAUAUGGUCAGAAAA